AGAUGUGCGGAGGGUGCCACCGUUUCCACGUCAAAGAUGGACGUCGUAGGAGGAGGAGGAGGCGGUGGCGGUGGGUUGAUCGCCAAUAACAAGCAGAGAGCUAUGAUACCCAACAAAAGCAGGGGUGAAUUUACCCGCAACCAAAGAAAAGACUCGGAGGGGUUUUCCGAGGCUCCGGAUCUGGAGUUCGAAUAUGGCGACACGGAUAAGUGGGCGGCAGAGCUGUCAGAGCUGUACAGCUACACUGAGGGGCCGGAGUUCCUCCUCAAUAGGAAAUGCUUCACGGAGGACUUCAGGACUCAUGUGACUGAUAGGAAGUGGACAGAGCUGAGCCUGGCUGAGCACCGCGCCCACGCCAUGCGCCUGCUGGACAGCCUGGAGGUGACGGCCCGCGAGAAGAGGCUGAAGGUGGCCAGAGCCAUUCUCUACAUGGCUCAGGGUACCUUCGGGGAGUGUGAAUCGGAGGCGGAGGUGCAGCACUGGAUGCGGUACAACGUCUUUCUACUGCUGGAGGUCGGCACCUUCUCAGCCCUGGUGGAGCUGCUGAACAUGGAGAUCGAUAACAGUGCUGCCUGCACUAGUGCCGUCAGGAAACCUGCCAUCUCCUUGGCUGAUAGCACAGACCUCAGGGUGCUGCUGAACAUCAUGUACCUGAUGGUGGAGACCAUUCAGCAGGAGGACCUUGCUGACAGCCCAGAGUGGAGGACCGCUCGGGACACCUUCAGGACUGAGCUGGGCUCUCCGCUGUACAACAACGAGCCCAUCUCCGUCAUGCUAUUUGGCAUGGUGACCAAGUUCUGCAGUGGCCACGCCCCCCACUUCCCCAUGAAGAAGGUCUUGCUGCUGCUGUGGAAGACAAUCCUGUUCACACUGGGUGGUUUCGAGCAGCUCCAGCAAAUCAAGGUGCGUAAGCGGGAGGAUCUGACUUUGCCCCCCCUGCCGGAGGACAGCAUCCGGGUGGUGCGCAGCAUGCGAGCCGCCUCGCCCCCUGCCUCCGCAUCCGACCUCAUAGAGCAGCAGCAAAAACGGGCUCGCCGCGAGCACAAGGCUCUCAUCAAGCAGGACAACCUAGAUGCCUUCAACGAAAAGGACCCCUACAAGGCGGAUGAUACUCGUGAGGAUGAAGAUGACAGCGAUGACAAUGACAAUAGCCUGGAACCGGAGACCUUUCCCUUAGAGCGGGACGAGGUCAUGCCCCCGCCAAUCCCACACCCGCCCUGCGAGAGGGUGUCUUUCCCCAAGGGCCUUCCUUGGGCCCCCAAAGUCCGGGAGAAGGACAUCGAACACUUCUUGGAAUCUAGCAGAAGCAAAUUUAUUGGAUACACUUUAGGAAGUGAUACAGACACCAUUGUGGGCCUGCCUACCCCCAUCCACGAGAGCAUCAGGACCCUGAAGCAGCACAAGUAUGUGUCCAUUGCCGAAAUUCAGAUUGCCAAAGAAGAGGAGUUCCAGAAGACCCCACUGUCGGGGGGGGAAGAGGAAGUAGAGAUGUGUUCCACUGAGCUGCUGUACCAGGGAAUCCUCCCCAGCCUGCCACAGUAUAUGAUUGCACUGCUGAAGAUCCUGCUGGCUGCAGCUCCCACUUCCAAGGCCAAAACCGACUCCAUAAACAUCUUGGCUGACGUCCUGCCUGAAGAGAUGCCGACCACAGUUCUGCAGAGCAUGAAGCUGGGUGUGGAUGUGAAUCGGCAUAAGGAGAUCAUCGUCAAGGCCAUCUCUGCCAUCUUGCUGCUGCUACUUAAACACUUUAAACUCAACCACAUCUACCAGUUUGAGUAUAUGGCCCAACACCUGGUCUUUGCUAACUGCAUUCCGCUCAUCCUGAAGUUCUUCAACCAGAACAUAAUGUCCUACAUCACAGCUAAGAACAGCAUCUCCGUGCUGGACUUCCCCCACUGUGUGGUGCAUGAGCUGCCUGAGCUGACUGCAGAGAGCCUGGAGGCUGGUGACAACAACCAGUUCUGCUGGAGGAACCUUUUCUCUUGCAUCAACCUGCUGAGAAUCCUCAACAAGCUCACCAAGUGGAAGCACUCCAGAACCAUGAUGCUGGUUGUCUUUAAGUCGGCUCCUAUCCUCAAGAGGGCGCUCAAGGUCAAGCAGGCCAUGAUGCAGCUAUACGUGUUAAAGCUGUUGAAGGUCCAGACUAAGUACUUAGGGCGACAAUGGAGGAAAAGCAACAUGAAAACCAUGUCGGCCAUCUACCAGAAGGUGCGGCAUCGCCUCAAUGAUGACUGGGCCUACGGAAACGAUCUGGAUGCACGGCCCUGGGACUUCCAGGCCGAGGAGUGCGCGCUGAGGGCCAACAUAGAGCGCUUCAAUGCCCGGCGCUACGACAAGAGCCAGGGAAACCCGGACUUCCUGCCCGUGGACAACUGCCUGCAGAGCGUGCUGGGCCAGCGUGUGGAGCUGCCCGAGGAAUUCCAAAUGAACUAUGACCUCUGGCUGGAGCGGGAGGUCUUCUCCAAACCCAUCUCCUGGGAGGAGCUGUUGCAGUGAGGCCGAGGUGCGGUCAGACAGAGUCCUGGUGGGACCCGGCAGAACCCGGUUCCUCCCUCUGCUGUGCUCUCAUCAAGAGAGACAAAGCCUUGUCCCAGCGCCUUGUCAGGACCACCAGAGCCGUGGCCUGCUUGUCACUCUGGUCUGAAAUCAGAAGCGUCACGGCAGUGGUUACUGCUCACUGAGAUGCCAGGAGCACUCCAUCUGUUUCCUUACUGCUUCUUUUGGUUACCCCUACCCCCCCCUAUACACACACACACACAUGCACACACAAGCCUCUGUGCUCUUCCUCCAGUCUGGGCCAAACUACACCCCUAACUGUAUUUUAGUACCCUUCAAUAGCAGGACCGCACCAAAUCUGCUGGUCAUCGAGGAUUGUGUUAGAACCUACAACCUGCUGCAGUGUGGCACUGUCAGCUUAUGGAAAGGGGAUCCAGCCCCCUUUGGACCUUUUACCUCCUCAACCUUACACUACUGUCCUCUCCUGGGGGCAUCUUAGAAUCUGUAUGUUAUGAAUGAUUUCUGUUAUGUAUUUUUGUGUGUAUAAGGAGCAUCGCUUAUAGGUUUGUGUUUUAUUUCUAUAGGCAGAUGUGCGGGUUUGUGGGCAUGGGGGGGGGCUGUGCCUUCACAUCGCCCCCUUUUUAUUGUCCUGCGGACCAGAUGUUGUGUUUCCUGAGUGAUGCUCCCUGGGCGUAAAAUGCUGGAAGCUGGUGAUUUUGGUCUGGGCCUUUUUUUUUCAUUCUUUCUUUGCUUAUUCUCCUUUUAAAAUAUUACUUUUGCGUAGCAUACGUCUUGCCAUUUAAUCUUAGCUGUGCGCUAUGCUAAGGCAGGUAUGUAAUACCUGCAUAAAGGCCAGGGGAAUGCCCCCCCCCCCCCCCCACCAUUUCUGGGAGUCCAGCCAUUGGUUGUCAGUCUUGCUGUGUUUAUGUCCGCAAGGCCAUGGCUGUGGAAAAUGAAGGGGGAAGCCAACCUUUCAGAUGAAUUUUCAAAGGGGGACCUGAUUUGACAGGCAGGCAGGCAGGCAGGUAAGUGUCCUGUUGGAAAGGGCCUCAUAAGUCAGAACUCCUUGCAGCUUUCAUUAUAGAUCAUGUUUUAAUAUCAUCUGUUUUUGUACAGUUUGCUGCAUCACUCUCUGUAAGCGACGGAAUUAAUAAAUUUCUCUGAUGUGUGCUGCUG